rnacentral:rRNA from 1 species
UAGGGAAUAUUGGACAAUGGGCGCAAGCCUGAUCCAGCCAUGCCGCGUGAGUGACGAAGGCCUUCGGGUUGUAAAGCUCUUUUGGCGGGGACGAUAAUGACGGUACCCGCAGAAUAAGCUCCGGCUAACUUCGUGCCAGCAGCCGCGGUAAUACGAAGGGAGCUAGCGUUGUUCGGAAUCACUGGGCGUAAAGCGCACGUAGGCGGAUGUGUCAGUCAGGGGUGAAAUCCCGGAGCUCAACUUCGGAACUGCCUUUGAUACAGCACAUCUGGAGUCCGGAAGAGGUGGGUGGAAUUCCUAGUGUAGAGGUGAAAUUCGUAGAUAUUAGGAAGAACACCGGUGGCGAAGGCGGCCCACUGGUCCGGUACUGACGCUGAGGUGCGAAAGCGUGGGGAGCAAACAGG